AUGCCUCGUCAUCUAAUUAGUGACGCGCAUGAAUGGAUUAACGAGAUUCCUACUGUCCCUAUCUACUAUCUAGCGAAACCACAGCCAAGGGAACGGGCUUGGAAUAAUUAGCGGGGAAAGAAGACCCUGUUGAGCUUGACUCUAGUCUGGCAGUGUAAGGAGACAUAAGAGGUGUAGCAUAAGUGGGAGAUAUAUUGGUUUCGACUAAAUAUAUCAAAAAUGAAAUACCACUACUCUUAUUGUUUCCUUACUUACUUGAUAAAAUGGAACGUGUAUCAUUCACUUAGCCAUUAUACGGAUAUAUUUAUAUAUUUUAUGGUAUUUUGUUUUGAUGCGAGCUUCUUGUUUAAAGUACCAAGAGUUUGUUAUAUACACCAAACAAAUAUCAAUUAAAUUUGCUUUCCAUUAAUAAUGGUUUGUUAAAUAUUAAUUGAAUUUGGUAUAACUAUUAUACUCAGGUAUGAUCCAAUUCAAGGACAUUGCCAGGUGGGGAGUUUGACUGGGGCGGUACAUCUCUCAAAUAAUAACGGAGGUGUCCCAAGGCCAGCUCAGUGCGGACAGAAACCACACAUAGAGCAAAAGGGCAAAUGCUGACUUGAUCUCGGUGUUCAGUACAUACAGAGACAGCAAAAGCUCGGCCUAUCGAUCCUUUUGGUUUAAAGAGUUUUUAACAAGAGGUGUCAGAAAAGUUACCACAGGGAUAACUGGCUUGUGGCG
rnacentral:rRNA from 1 species